CCUACGGGAGGCAGCAGUGAGGAAUAUUGGACAAUGGAGGCAACUCUGACCCAGCCAUGCCGCGUGCAGGAAGACGGCCCUAUGGGUUGUAAACUGCUUUUAUACAGGAAGAAACACUGCUACGUGUAGCAGCUUGACGGUACUGUAAGAAUAAGGACCGGCUAACUCCGUGCCAGCAGCCGCGGUAAU
rnacentral:rRNA from 1 species